UACGUAGGGUGCAAGCGUUGUCCGGAAUUAUUGGGCGUAAAGAGCUCGUAGGCGGCUUGUCGCGUCGGCUGUGAAAACCUGGGGCUCAACCCCGGGCCUGCAGCCGAUACGGGCAAGCUAGAAUUCGGUAGGGGAGACUGGAAUUCCUGGUGUAGCGGUGAAAUGCGCAGAUAUCGGGAAGAACACCCGUGGCGAAGGCGGCUCUCUGGGACGGUACUGACGCUGAGACGCGAAAGCGUGGGGAGCGAACAGG
rnacentral:rRNA from 1 species